UACGGAGGGUGCAAGCGUUAUCCGGAUUCACUGGGUUUAAAGGGUGCGUAGGCGGAUAGGUAAGUCCGUGGUGAAAUCCUGCAGCUUAACUGCAGAACUGCCAUGGAUACUAUUUAUCUUGAAUAUCGUGGAGGUUAGCGGAAUAUGUCAUGUAGCGGUGAAAUGCUUAGAUAUGACAUAGAACACCCCAUUGCGAAGGCAGCUAACUACGCGAUAAUUGACGCUGAUGCACGAAAGCGUGGGGAUCAAACAGG
rnacentral:rRNA from 1 species